GAUGAACGCUGGCGGCGUGCCUAAUACAUGCAAGUCGAGCGAACGGACGAGAAGCUUGCUUCUCUGAUGUUAGCGGCGGACGGGUGAGUAACACGUGGAUAACCUACCUAUAAGACUGGGAUAACUUCGGGAAACCGGAGCUAAUACCGGAUAAUAUUUUGAACCGCAUGGUUCAAAAGUGAAAGACGGUCUUGCUGUCACUUAUAGAUGGAUCCGCGCUGCAUUAGCUAGUUGGUAAGGUAACGGCUUACCAAGGCAACGAUGCAUAGCCGACCUGAGAGGGGGAGCGGCCACACGGGAAGUGGGACACGGUCCAGAGUCCUGCGGGAGGCAGCAGUAGGGAAUCUUCCGCAAUGGGCGAAAGCCUGACGGAGCAACGCCGCGUGAGUGAUGAAGGUCUUCGGAUCGUAAAACUCUGUUAUUAGGGAAGAACAUAUGUGUAAGUAACUGUGCACAUCUUGACGGUACCUAAUCAGAAAGCCACGGCUAACUACGUG
rnacentral:rRNA from 1 species